rnacentral:lncRNA from 1 species
CCACAGGGCUCCGAAGAAACCCGGCCAGUUAAGUAUUCUGGGGUGUUACAGUAGGAAGGUGUAAGUUUUCCAAACUCUCUGGUAGCAGCUGUUUGCUGUUCUUGUCUCAGCCCUUCUGCUUAUGAACGAAUGGUGGGAUUUGGGCCAAUGGUUUGAAGCUACGAUGCCAGGCUCUUGACAAUGUGGCAGCUUCCAAACUAAUCCUCCUCCAGGAAAUGCUAACCCAGGCCUUCCUUCACCAAAGCUGUCUUGCUUCACACAGGAGAACGCUGGGGCCGCCGAUGUUCCCGAACAAAAAGUCAACCUCAGGGUCCGAAGGACGGUGGAGGAGCAGACCCUCACGGUUCGUGGCCCUGGGGCUCUGGGACUGCGGGAACCCCUCGUGGGACACCAUCCGAACAAUGGGGCAUACCCCGGGCCUCGCGGAGCAAGGAGAGUCAAGAAGCAAGAAUCUGACACGGUCAAUCUGGAUUUCACAUCCACCAGUGCUCAAAAGGGAGAAAAAGGCUCUCCUGGAAGCCAAGGCAGCAAAGGAGAAAAGGUACUUUUCAACCUAUUUGCACCUGUGCUGGUUGAAAAAAAGGACGUUCCCUCUGAAUCCCAGCAAAUCUUGGGAAAGUUACUUUUUUGGACUAGAACCCCAGAUUACAGAGGACAUGCUGGCUGGAUGUUUUCCAGAAGUUUUUGUCAUCCAAAAAA